AUGAGACGACCCGGCGGCGCCGCUCCCGUCGUCGUCCUCCUCCUCUGGCUCGCCGCGCUCACCUUCGCCUUCCACGGCUGCGGCGGCGGCCUCCUUGUCAGGCGCGGAAGCUCGGUGGCCGUCGAGCGGGAUCGUCGUCCGGCCUCUCUUCCCAGGAAGAUGCUUCUCGCCGUGGAGAGCCAGAGCCUCGACCCCUCGUCGGCCGCCGGUGCUCCACAGGAUCAACACCACCACCACCAUCACCACCAUCAUCGUGGUGGUCACCACCAUCGUCAACGGCACCACCGCCUCCCCAGCAAAUGGAACUGGCAGAGAGUCCCGCCGUCCGCCGCUCCCGGGGACGGCCAGGAGAUCGACCCGCGGUACGGCGUGGAGAAGAGGCUCGUUCCAACAGGCCCGAACCCGUUGCAUCACUGA
rnacentral:rRNA from 1 species